ensembl:lncRNA
GUGAGCUUGGAGUCUUGGAGGCAGGAAAAGAGAGCUGGAAUGUCUGGUUUCAUCAAGAGAAACUUGUUGCCUGCUGCAUAGGUGAAUGUGGAGAGAGAGCGUUCUCUUAUGAUAGAGGCUGGUGUCUGCAAGCUUUUCCCGCUAGCAAAGCCCCAACAGAAGCAGGAGGGAGCAUUCAGGAAUAUUUGGAGCACAGAGCAUGUAAACUGAAUGGUGUGCGUGUAGGUAUCGCUCUCAGGGAGAAGAAAGCCUUCUGCCAAACAGGGCUUAAGCUUCAAGGUGCUGCUGAAGCCCUGUAGCCCUGGAAGGCUAUUUCAACUUUAAAGAAAGGCUUGUGGAUGGCUGUAAGAGAGUGCUUCUCAAACAAUUCACCUGUGCUUCGUGUGAAAAUGUAGAUUCUGAGCCCAUGGGUCUAGGGUGGAGCUCAAGAUUCUGCAUUUCUAACAAGUUGCCAGGAAUAGCGCCAUUGGAGCCUGAAGGCAGCAGAGGAGAAUCUUCCCUGGAAUUCUUAGGCCCUGAGGUGACAGAGGGGGAGUACCUUGUUGCUGGUCACAUAGCUGAAAACAAGAAUCUCUCAGUUUGUGUUUACGAGAAGAUUGUCGGUUUCACUCCAGCUGAAGGUGAAAAGAAUGUCACCCUCCUCUCAGCCGAGCCGAGCCCAAAGAAUUUGCUGAAGAAAUAUGGCUGAGAAACCCAGUUAUGGAGAGUGGAGCUGAGGAGGCAUAAUUGGCCCUAUUAUGAUACAACUGUUGGUUGGUUCCAUUCCUACUCUUGGAAAAGUGGAUCGAGGAAGACAUCAUGGAAAGAAGUAAGAAUAUGUUAGAAAAGCCAAGAAGUUUCAAAAGAAAUACUGCUCUCUUUCCUUAUGUCUACUGACAAAGAGAAGAAUAAGUCAGAGCUCAGGGCUCUCUGAUCUGCUUGCCAAACAACUUUAGAAAGAUGGAACUUGAUUCUCCAGGAAGUUCAAACCUCAAUCCCUCUAUCAAUAUUAUGAGAAAUUCUGUCAAAGUCAACUCUUUAUCAUCUGGAAUCUAUAGUUAUUCUAAAAUAUUGUCUCUAAUUUAAGAGAACUUUGCAAAUGAAAAGGAUGAAAAUCCUUUAUUUCAAACAUAGAAAAUAAGCACAUAAUAAACCUGUAAAUAUGAUUUGUCCUAAAUGAGAAAGAUCAUCAUGAUAGAAAGGUUUUCAAGUUACUAAAGAUUAUAAUAUUUAACACAAGAUCGAUUUCUAUAAUUUCCCUCAUUUUCCUUGCUCUCCUCUGCAUAUCGGGAAAGACGAAAGGAAUUAGGAUGGAAAAGAAUGACUUACCACAGAGAAAAAUACCUCCUGUCGUAACAGAGGCCCAAGGUCUGGUUAAAGGUACAGUUGGAAGAAAGAGGAAAGAAUAAAUUAAGGGUACAUUUAAAGCGCAGUAAUGAUGGGAAAUAUUAAAAAAAAAUCAUCCCAGUACUUUUGUCUUGUGUCCUGGAAGACUUGUGUUAUUAAUAAGAGGAGAAAAAGGAGAUGGGACGGGAAUAGGGUUACUGAUUGGAGGCAAUAAUGGACCAUCAAAAUGGAUGCAUGUUGCAAGCAAUAAUCCCGUAGAAGAAGAAUUCAGAUGAGAAGCCAAAGUUAAAAAAUUAGAUUUUAGAAUUAUCUGCAUAGAGAUGAUGAUUGUAGUCAUCAAAGUGAAUUAAAUCAUUUGAAAAGUUAGAGGAGUAAGAAAAGAGCUGAUUAUGAAUUAACAUUAAUUUAUUAAUAAAAGACUUCAAACCACGAGAAUUAUAUGAGUAAUAUAUUUUCUGUAUUUCUAACCAUCUUUGUGAUCAACAAGUAGGGAGACAAGCUAAUGCUUUCAAAGUUAGAUUGCUAUUUUUCUUUUGAGUGCUCCCAAAUACAUUAGGCAAAACAGGAUAUUUUCCUUGAGCCUUAAGAGGAUUCCAAUGUGGAGAAUCUGACACAUGCUGAAAAAUGGAUGAAACUUGAGGACGUUACGCUAAGAGAAACAGGCCAGUCAUAAAAAGAUAGAUACUGUAUGAUUCCAAUUACAUGAAGUACUUAAAGUAGUCAGAAUCAUAGCUACAGAAAGUAAAAUGGUGGUUGUCAGGAGCUUAAGGGGUGGCAAUGGUCGGUUAUUGUUUAAAGGGUAGAGAAUUUCAGUUUUGCAAGAUGAAAGGAGUCAGUGGAGAAGGAUGGUGGUGAUGGGUGCAUAUCAUUAUGAAUGUGUUUAAUACCAUUAAACUGUACACUUAAAACGGUCAACAUGGUAAAUUUUAUGUUACGUGUAUUUUAC